GAUCAUGGCUCAGAUUGAACGCUGGCGGCAGGCUUAACACAUGCAAGUCGAACGGUAGCAGGUAAGUACUUGUACUUAUGCUGACGAGUGGCGGACGGGUGAGUAAUGCUUGGGGAUCUGGCUUAAUGGAGGGGGAUAACGACGGGAAACUGUCGCUAAUACCGCGUAGAAUCGAGAGAUGAAAGUGUGGGACCUUCGGGCCACAUGCCAUAGGAUGACCCAAGUGGGAGUUAAGGUAGUUGGG
rnacentral:rRNA from 1 species